ACAAAAUUGAAAAUAAUGGAACUAUUUUACGGAUUUACGUAAACUUUCCUGUUCUAACUAUUACGUUUUUUCCGGUUUCGCUCAAUUAUUUAAAUAAAAAAAUACACAGAAAAUUAAAUAAUGACUUAAUUAUAUUCAUCAACUAGAUUAAUAAUGCAACAAAAAAAGUUUUUUGUCAUUUUUCGAUUGGAGCAAGUAUUCUGUUCAAAAAGUUGUUUAUAGACAAAAAAAAAGUAAUAAAACCAAUAGAUCCCGAACUAAGCUCUGAAUCUAAAACACAUCAUAGGUAGUAAAACCAACACAUUCUUGACUAUACUUAGAAUCUAAUAUAAAUAUAUAUAUGUAAGUAAUAAUUUAUCUUGCAAUGUUAUUUUCAUAAACACCCCACAGGUCUCGAAUAAUUUAUUAACCACACAUACAUUGGUAUAUUCCACGUUCCAGAAUAUUAAGCCUAGCUCUAUGCUUCUAUGUAAAACAUGAAACGGUGUACAAGAGAUGAUGAUGUGACGAAUCAAUGCAACUGUACUGUUACAGCUAGUAUCAAACAUGGUUUCUUAAUAUUAGAAUCAUUGUUAUGUCAUUAAUUUUCAUUUUCAUUUUGUUUCAUAAAAAUUGUUUAAAAGUGCGUUAUCACAUAACAUGUGUAGUACUGAAGUGAAUGCUGUAAUUCGGUUUUUUCGACUUUCUAGUCCCCCUACCCUCACUAUUAUUUGUACCCAAAUGACAACAUUAAUCAGUAACAAUCAAUAUUUAUGGGCAAUAGGCUUGUAUAGAUAAAAGUAAUAUUUUAUGAAAUACAAAAACAUAUAGGUGAAUACAUAAUUUUACAUAAUUUUUAAUAGUAUAUUAUAAUGAAAUAGGUACGCGCUUUUACAGUUCUGGUGUAUGGAUUUUAUAAUUAGACGAAAAAAAUAAUCUCAUCGCUUUAAAUCGAAUUAAUGAAGAUAAUACUAGUGUUUGAGUCGUACAUGGUGUUUACGCUCUUGUGAGUAAGGUAUGAUCUCAGGAAUUAACGCAGACAUUAUUAGACAAAAAUAUAUUACGUAGACUUUCUUUUGGUACCAUAGAAGGGUCACCAUUUGCCUUGACUAAUAUAAUAAUUAUUGUACGUUCAUUAUGCAUCAGUCUAGUUAAAAAAAAAAAAAAAACACGUGUAUUUUUAACGAAAACAUUGUUUAAACAAAACGAUUUUAACACUUGUUUAUUUAAUACUAUUUUUUUUCUAGGUAAAUAGGUAUCUGUUAUGUACUAUUUUUCAUUUUGUCUUGUACACCUCUCUAGUACACAAUAAUACAAUUAUUAGCUAUUACCUAUGGGUAAUAAUAUCAUUAUAACAACAUGCAGUUAGUGACCUACGUGCAGGUAUUCGUUUCAACGGGUAACUAGACGAAUAAAACAUCGCAUUAUCAUAAUAUCGGAUAGUAAUAAAAUUAUACUAUGUGAAAUUGGUUAUUAUGUGUUAUAGACACUUCUCAUAGGAGUAAUAAUUUGUAUACAUACUUAUCACCAUACAUACCGUGUCACGGUUUUAUUAUUGUACAAUAAUGUCCAUUGUCCAUAGCGCACUUUUAGCGAAAAAAAAUUAUUAGCUAUUUCGAAGGUAACAAUUUUGUAAAUGUAUAAUUAAUCCGAGUAAAUCGUCA